CAACGAGAGACUCGGUGAAAUCAUAGUACCGGUGAAGAUGCCGGUUACCCGCGACAGGACGGAAAGACCCCGUGGAGCUUUACUGUAGCCUGAUAUUGAAAUUCGGUACAGUUUGUACAGGAUAGGUAGGAGCCUUAGAAGCGUGAGCGCUAGCUUACGUGGAGGCAUUGGUGGGAUACUACCCUAAUUGUAUUGGAUUUCUAACCCGCAGCACUUAUCGUGCUGGGAGACAGUGUCAGGCGGGCAGUUUGACUGGGGCGGUCGCCUCCUAAAGAGUAACGGAGGCGCUCAAAGGUUCCCUCAGAAUGGUUGGAAAUCAUUCAUAGAGUGUAAAGGCAUAAGGGAGCUUGACUGCGAGACCUACAAGUCGAGCAGGGUCGAAAGACGGACUUAGUGAUCCGGUGGUUCCGCAUGGAAGGGCCAUCGCUCAACGGAUAAAAGCUACCCCGGGGAUAACAGGCUUAUCUCCCCCAAGAGUUCACAUCGACGGGGAGGUUUGGCACCUCGAUGUCGGCUCAUCGCAUCCUGGGGCUGUAGUCGGUCCCAAGGGUUGGGCUGUUCGCCCAUUAAAGCGGUACGCGAGCUGGGUUCAGAACGUCGUGAGACAGUUCGGUCCCUAUCCGUCGUGGGCGUAGGAAAUUUGAGAGGAGCUGUCCUUAGUACGAGAGGACCGG
rnacentral:rRNA from 1 species